UAUUAUAUUAUAUUAUAUUUAUAUUUUAUUAUAUAGAAGAGAGGAGAUGGUCGACCAAUGGCAUCUUUGCAAUUUUAGCGUCUUUCUUUUUGCAAUAAUAAUUGUAUCAUUAAUUGUUGAAUGAAACUUUAGAAGGAUCGGAUUUUUCAUUCUCAUUUCUAACUGGGAAAAAAAGAACAAACGCACCAGCAGCAACUCUUCUCUUCAUCUUCUUAUCUUGGUAUGUUUACUUUUAAUUUUUGCUCAAAUUUCUUUCCUUUGCUUUCGAUCUUUCUACUUUUUGGUCUACCUUUGUUGGAUCUGUUUUGGUUUUUGCCCCUCUUUUGCUAUUUCACUAUUUUGCUUUUAAAUUUGAGCGGAAGAUUUUUUUGUCCUCAUAAAUAGGAUCUUUGUAUUGAACUAUGUUCAGAUUUUAAAGAAGUAUUGCGAACAUGUAACAUAAUUUACUUUUUAUUUUCUUUAGAUUGUGGCCUUAUUUUUGUUUUAGGUAUAAUAUGCUAUUAAUUGGCAUGUUAAGUUUUUGGUCCGGCACUACAAAAAAAUAUGCUUCUACUCUCAUAAAGUAAAUCUUAUUAUUAAAUAUUUUUUCAUUUCUUCUUUGUAAUUGAGGAGUAGUUUUUGUUGUUGUAAUCUUUUAUGAUAGAUAAAAAUAUAUCGAUAUUUAAUCCUUGAAUAAAUAAUUCUAGAAAAAUAAUAGAAUCUUACUUUCAGUUACCCGCUGAGAAGAUCGCUUGACGAAAAAAUAAAGUUCUGAACUUUACAAGGUUUAUCAAUGAUACAUAUGUACCGAGCUUAUUCAAAUCAUGUUAGCAAUAGCAAGUAAACAUAAAAAAAUUCUUUCUUUCAAAUAUAGAUUCAUAUUUUGGUGGAUCUUCUAACUGUAAGUGAAAAAUAGUACCAAUCUGGGCCUCUUUGAUAGAAAAAAGUACUUUUGCACAAGUUUGUGUGUGUAUAUUACAAUUGUCUGGUAUUGGACUAUGAUAAAUAUCAUUUGCUCGUAAACUCUUAGGAUAUGCACCAUGCUAGAAAAUGUCUUCUUAGUGAUCUAUAUCGACCCAUCAAAUUAAAAUAUUUAUAGACUUGGAGAACCUAUUAGGGAUUUCAUGAGCUAUGAGCCUACUUCAGUGGAAGAGACUCCUCUUCUAGCAAAGAGGUAGUAAAAAUGCUUCCUUUUUAUGCAUGGAAUGAUAAUUGAUAAGGCGUCAUUGACUAACCACAUAGGUUUCUUCUUCGCUAAUUUUUUUAAGGGCUCAGAUAUAUACCAAGUCGCCAAAUUUAUAAGCAGCCACCUGCUACUCUGCUUUUCAGCAUUUUCUUAAUAUCAACAAGUAGGCACGCUAAGCAGCAUUAUCCCCAAUUUCAAUGUGAAGCUCACCGUAUUGCCACCAUAAUUUUUAUUAUAAUAAUGCAUCUUUUAAAAAAUUGUUCUUAAAGCUUCCCGAAUAAGCCUCCCCCACCAUUAGAUGUCCUAUGACAAAUUUUGUAGCAGGACUUAUAAUGGUUGAUUUGUAGUUCUUAGCUAUCUAUUUGGUUAUUUUUGUUGUUACUGCUUGUUUAUUUAUGUGAAGUAACUACUAAAUUAAGUACCAUAUUUUUUUUUGUGACAUGUAUCUCUUGAAAUGUAUGCUCCUCAAGUCCAGCAUUCUUUCUGAAAGUUUUUUUGCUUGAGAUCAACUUUAACGUAUUGGUUUUUUUAUUCUAAUAUAACCUGAAGGUUUUUCCUGGGCAGCAUGGAAGUGGAAUAUCUAGAAAGUACUCUUGGUGGUACAGUAGAGAUUUGGUGUUACAGUGGAGAGAAUAAUAAUUAUACCCAAAUAUUUUUAUCUGCUUAUAGCUCAUAAGCUAUUGGAUGAAGAACCUGGUUAUUCCUGUGUUAUUAUCAUUUCGGAAAAGGGCCAAAAUCGCCCUUAAACUAUCCGAAAAAGAUCACGUUUAAGCCCCGUUAUGUUUUGGUAGCAAUCACACCCCCACUAUCUAAUUUUCGGAUCACAUCUACUCUUACCACUAAUAGUCCUCCACAUCAUAUACCUAGGUAGAACAAAACCCACUAACCUUUUAACUCGACUCAUAUCUACAGGUAACAACUUUUAGCCAUGUCAGAAAUCUGGGACUCAUGGUCGGUGGGUUUUUGGAUCAACUCCAGCAGGUUUUCUCUAAGUUUUCACUUUUGAUAUGACAUGUCUCAUCCUUAAAUUAUUGUAGUGUUUUCAGGAUGUAGCUUCUCCAGGAUAGUGUGGGAACAAACAUGCAAGGAAUAGUUUUAUAGAAUGGAGCAAAUUUUUCUUUGUUGAAUUCACAUGUUAUGAAAUUGCUUCUGUUGUUUCUAUAUGUUAAAUUGGCUAUUUAGAGAUGGGACUGUGCUUCACUUCUGUGCCUGUAUAUUACUAGAUUUUCUUUUCAAGGACUUAUAGUUAUUUACACGUCUCAUUUAUACAUCUCAGGUACAUGUGUUAAAAUUUAACACACUGGCGCAUGUCUCGAUCCUAAUUUUGUUGGAGCAAUUUGAAAAUGGAACUCUUAUGGAGAAGGUGCGUAUGAAAAAGUCGAUAGGAAUGUCAUUUGUACGGUUAACAUACGGAAUGUGAUUUGAAGAUGGGAGCAAAAUUCAUUGUUCUUAAAUUCACAGAUUGUGAAAUUGUAUUAUAUACUCGAACGUAUUAUGUAGUCUUCUAUGUUAUACUCUAUAAAAAUUAGAACUGUGCUUAUGUGUGUGUGGUAUUAUGGUUAUUCUGAAACAUUAAUUGCUGUUUAGGUUUAGAAUUCAAUAUAUGUCCUCGGUGGAUGCAACUACAGGCUAACAGAAAUUAUUGGGC
rnacentral:lncRNA from 1 species